CCUACGGGUGGCUGCAGUGGGGAAUAUUGCACAAUGGGCGAAACCCUGAUGCAGCGACGCCGCGUGAGUGAAGAAGUAUCUCGGUACGUAAAGCUCUAUCAGCAGGGAAGAAAAUGACGGUACCUGACUAAGAAGCCCCGGCUAACUACGUGACAGCAGCCGCGGUAAUACGUAGGCAGCAAGGGUUAUCCGGAUUUACUGGGUGUAAAGGGGGCGUAUACGGCAGCACAAGUCUGGAGUGAAAUCCCGGGGCUUAACCCCGGAACUGCGUUGGAAACUGGGCGGCUGGAGUGCAGGAGGGGUAAGCGGAAUGCCGAGUGUAGCGGUGAAAUGCGUAGAUAUUAGGAGGAACACCGGUGGCGAAGGCGGCUUACUGGAUCGUAACUGACGUUGAGGCACGAAAGCGUGGGGAGCAAACAGGAUUAGAUACCCGGGUAGUC
rnacentral:rRNA from 1 species